rnacentral:lncRNA from 1 species
UAUAGAGACAAGAAUAAAGCCUUUUUCAUUCUUGUCAAUGCCUUUCUAGUCUUUAGUUUUCUAUCAAGACUUUCUAAUAUUUUUGUCUUUGGCAAUAGCCAUUCUAGUUUAAUACUAUAUCACCUUUGAGUAAUUUUCUUGUCUUUUUGAGUAACAUAAGAUUAUAUUGAUCUUUUAAGUUCUUUGAUGUUCAUAUCUUUAACAUGUAGAGGACUUGAAGUAAUAUAAUAGUCUCAAUUAUAGGAUAUUAUCUUGAUAAAAAAAUUAUAUAUUUUGACUUAAAUGUGGUUGUAAUAUAAUUUAAUAGUGAUUCAUAAUACACAAAAGGUGAAGAUGAAAAAGGAAGGAUAGGAAAUACUUUGCCUUCUUAGUUAGGAUCUUUUAGAGAAAUCUUGAAAAAAAAAUAUUAUAAAUUAAGCAAUAGUAAAUAUAAUUAAAAGACUUUCUUGCAUAUAUAUUAUAUUAAAUUUUUUCAGAAUGAAAGAUAUAAGAAGGUGUGAAGACUUUAUAAGAGAGUAGAAGUAUACAUAAGUUAUAAUUUGAGUAAUAUAAUUUAGUUCAUAUGGCCAUUGAUGAAUAAGAGGGAUAUUAUAUUUUUCACAAUUUAAAAAAAAUACAAAAGAUUUUUUGAAGAGGUGGAUUAAGGAGUGAAAUAAAAAAGUGUAAAAACUUGGAGUCGAAAGGAAUAAACCAAAUCAAAGUAAUAGCAUCAAGCAACUAUAGCAUGAUUGUAAGAAAUUACAAAUUUUGAGAAACCUUUGUUCAAAUGCUCUAAAUUGGUCUCAACCUUUAUUUGGAGCUGAAACUUGGAGUAAUAUUGAUUUAUUGACCACAAAAUAUAGUAUCAUUAAGACAUUAGAGUGUAUUGUUG